AGCGAACGCUGGCGGCGUGCCUAACACAUGCAAGUCGAACGUGAAAUGGGGCAACCCAAAGUAAAGUGGCGUACGGGUGAGUAACACGUAGGUAAUCUACCCUAGAGUCUGGAAUAACCGGCCGAAAGGCUGGCUAAUACUGGAUAGAGCGAUCGAAAUCCGUAAUUGGGUUUUUCGGAAGGGAGCUCGUAAGAGCCUUCG
rnacentral:rRNA from 1 species